rnacentral:rRNA from 1 species
UACAGAGGGGGCAAGCGUUGUUCGGAAUUACUGGGCGUAAAGGGCGCGUAGGUGGCCUUCUAAGUUGAACGCGAAAUCCCUGGGCUCAACCCAGGAACUGCGUCCAAGACUGGGAGGCUUGAAUCCGGGAGAGGGAUGCGGAAUUCCAGGUGUAGCGGUGAAAUGCGUAGAUAUCUGGAGGAACACCGAUUGCGAAGGCAGCUUACUGGAGAGUAACUGACGCUGAGGCACGAAAGCGUGGGGGAUCAAACAGG